UCUGGCUGGGACAUCUGUCACCCAUUAAUUGGCAAGAUUGAUCCCUCAGAUCUGGCUGGAUAGGGGUGAUGGUCCCCC
rnacentral:sRNA from 1 species